rnacentral:tRNA from 1 species
AUUAUUUAGUUUAUCAAUUUAUAAAAACAAAUGUAUUGAAAACAUUAGAAAAGAAAGAUUCUUAAUAAUU